rnacentral:piRNA from 1 species
GUUUUUUAGCUCAGGGUGCUUG